GUCACCAUGCUGUCUUGUAAAUUCAGACAGCAGCAGGAAGUUUGUCCAAGAGCAGAUCAGCACAACACGCAACCGGCUGUCAGAAAUGAUAGUGCUUUGAAAGGGGUGGGACGCCUGUCUCCAGGGCAGCUGAGUUCAAAACAAUGAGCAAAGCAGUCACUUGAGGCAUUAUGGGACAUCUCCAGAGGCCAGUUACAGAGCAGAAAGCAAUCAAGUGUCUACACUGGCAAAAGAGAGCGCUGGAGCCUCUGCACAAAUAGCCUUAAGACUCUUGUACAGAUGUCUGGUAUGAAAUAACAAAACUUCCAUUGACCUCAACGGAACCAGGAUUUCACUCUGUUCUAAAAGCAACCAGCACUAUAUUUAUUUGAAAUAUCAGAUAUCAUAGGAAUCACCCUUUUGUGAUUUACCAUUUUUACUUUGUUGUCCAAGCUGAAAGUUGUGAUUUUAAAAAGGGAGUUCUGCUCAAAAACUGGUAAAAUGAUAUAGCACCAUUUAUGGUUUUUAGUCAGAAGACAAGCUAUUAAUGUUUAGAUAUUUUUAUUUUAUGUAUACACAUUGGCAAGGAGGGAAAGAAAUAAGUUUAAUGAACUUUACCUGUACAGUCAAAGUUACUUGUUUGGUUGCGUUUAGAGAAAGGAUUUAUUUUCCUAGUCUUUUUGAUUAUUUGCUCAUUAUUUCUGAUUGCCCGUAGUGCCACUUGCAUUCUUUUAAUGCAGUAUAUUAACACUUUGCACUUCUUUAGCACCUUUUCCCCAAGGCUCUCAAAGAACUUUACAGACAUUAGCUAGCUAAUAUUCACAAUGCUGAGUGAUAGGAAAGUGAAAUGAUCUUGACUUACAUAUGGGGAAACUGAGGCAUAAAGAUAUUUUUAAGACCAACAUUUUUUUUAAAAUGGCCUUUGAUUGUGGGUGCCCAGUUUGAAACAUGCUGGGUUUGAUAUUCAGAGGUGCUGAACACUUUCAUCUCCAGUUGCAGUCAGUGGGAGCUGCGAGUGCUCGUUACUUAUGAAGAGUCUCAAGCUGCCCAAAAUAUUUUAGCCAAUGUGACUUGUCCAAGGCCACACAGUAAGUGAGUGGCAGAGUCCAGAACUGGGAACAAAACCCUUACCACCUGACUACGUCACAUGCUCUAACUGCUAGACUAUGCAUUCACCAUCUCUUACUGCUGAGUUUAAAACUUUGUAAUAAUCCAGGUAAUAUACAUGUUACACUGUAUAUCAUACCCUACCGUGCAUCUCCAGUGGACUUAACUCUGAUGGACUUAAGGUCUGGAUUUUACAAGUAUGCUCUCAGAGAGGGACUCAGAAACUGAUAUAAUGCCUUCAUGUGAAUCUGGUGAUGCUGAAUUUAUCCUCACCCUAAUUGUGUACAGUUUUCAAAAGAAAUCAGGUAUUUUCCUGAUUUUACAGCAGAAUUUAGGACUCAGGGAAAAAAACAUGACAUGUGAUUGUCACAACUGAAGAUAUAAGCAGAUCUGAAGGAAAGACUUUUACACCUCACAAUGCCCUCUUAUCAGCAGCAUGCGUCUGCUGAGAGUAUUUUAUAAAAAGUGUAAUAUUUUGAAUUGUUUUGCAAACAGAGAUACUGUAAUCUAUUCAAGGAAACAAAAAUCUUAAAUAUUAAUUCAAUUAAUGUAAAUGCUGUGUUUAAAUUAGCUUAAUCAGAUGACCCUGGAUGUUACAUAUGGGGAAAACUGUUUCUAGUUAUAUUAACAGAGAAAAUUUGAAUAUUAAAACAAACAUACUGGAAAUAGUUUAACAAAUAAAUAUAAAAUAUU